AAAUACAUCCUAUUGAUCAAAAUUUCUAAAAGAAUACACAUCUAACAACAAAAACUCUAUUUAUCCCAAUUUCCUAAUCAAAAUCCCAAAUCUACAAUAUUUCUCUAUAAAAAUGAAAACUUUCCUUAAAUAGAAAGUUUUAGAAAAUAAUUUAUAUAAUACAUCCUAUUGAUUAAAAAUUCUGAAAGAAUAGACUUCUAACAACAAAAACUCUAUUUAUCCCAAUUUCCAAGUCAAAAUCCCAAAUCUAUAAUAUUUCUCUUUAAAAAUGAAAACUUUCCUUAAAUGGAAACUUUUAGAAAAUUAUUUAUAAAAUACAUCCUAUUGAUCAAAAAUUCUAAAAGAAUACACAUCUAACAACAAAAACUCUAUUUAUCCCAAUUUCCAAAUCAAAAUCCCAAAUCUACAAUAUUUCCCAUUAAAAAUUAAAACUUUUCUUAAAUAGAAACUUUUAGAAAAUUAUUUAUAAAAUGCAUCCUAUUGAUCAAAAAUUCUAAAAGAAUACACAUCUAACAACAAAAACUCUAUUUAUCCCAAUUUCCAAAUCAAAAUCCCAAUUCACAAUAUUUCUUUUUAAAAAUGAAAACUUUCCUUUAAUAGAAACUUUUAGAAAUUUAUUUAUAAAAUACAUCCUAUUGAUCAAAAAUUCUAAAAGAAAACACAUCUAACAACAAAAACUCUUUUUAUCCCAAUUUCCAAAUCAAAAUCCCAAAUCUCCAAUAUUUCUCUUUAA
rnacentral:lncRNA from 1 species